CCCGUGGCUUCUGGAGUCUUCUAGAUGUAAGAUAAUUGCGCGGCACGUUAAUAUCUCUAUGUAAUCCCGACGUGUGGGCCUUUCUUUCGUAUUUCCUGAUAACCCCCUGCAGAAAUAGACAAACACCAAAACUCGUAGAAUUCUGUCAAAUAAAACCCUAAGUCUAGAUGUUGAUUUCAUUUGGAUCCUUUUCUUUGUUUAUUUGAUAAUUAAAUUUGAUACUUAAGGACUGUCAACAAACUCCCCCAAGCUUACCUCUUGGUCGUCCCUGAGCAAGGAUAGACUCAGCAAUGGAUCAGAAGUUGUUGCAAUAUCUUAAAAAUUUGACGGUACACAUGCUUUUAAAUAAGAUCUCAUCUCUGAGUUAGAGUAAACUGUCAAGAACUAAAACUUACUUACUUUACCUUUCACCAUGGGACUUGUAACCGUCACUUCUAUCUUGAGUAGUUAAAAGAUAGAACAGUCUAGCCAAGUGCCAUGUCUAUUAUUCUUAAUCAGCUAUAGCUCUGGAGUUUUUGUAGAUUUUCAAAUAAAACUCAGAGAUUCCUUGUAUGACUCUCUAAAUCUCUCUUUUAUGGUAUUUCUGGAUCCUUACCAAGGCAGUGAUGGUAUAUGCCUUCUCUCAAGAUAUAUGGUAUUUGUGGUAUAGUGACAUUGCCUUCUCUCUCACCCUACUCUAAUAAGGCUUUAAUAUCUGGAGCUCAUAGGUGGGAGACAACUAAUACAUACUUACAAGACAUUUAUUGCAUAGUCAAACCAUGGAUCCAGAGAAACAAGUCAAUAAGUCAAAUCAAGAUGUGCAUGUGUGGCGAAUGAUAACAAUGGUGAAAGUCUAAUUUUACUUUUGCUCUUUUGAGGGGAUACAUACCUUCCUUGCUUUUUGAAACUUUAUGAGGAGAAUGAGAUGCUCUUCUUUUUCUUUCCUCUCAGGUGGGUAUCUUGUACCUCUAAUUCUACUGUCGGACACUUGUCCAUUUUUACCUCUCGUCUCACUUUUUCUUUCUUUCGAGGUUCCGGGCACUUACCCCUUUUUAUUUCCUCGUUUAUUAUUUAUUUUUAUUUUUUUUCAGAGCACUCAUCUCUUGAGAUAAUAUAGCAAGUGGUAGUAGCCAGAUAACUUGAGCAUUUAUUUCACAAGGGAAAACAGAAAUAUUUUUGGCUAUUCUCUCCCGGAUUAGGAGUAGAAUAUUUUUGGGUGGUUCUGGAGAUGGACAUGGAUGGAUAUAUGUGGAUGGUACUUCCGGAGUAGAAGUAGCAUAUAUGAGUGAACGUGCAAGUGAAUCUCGAUUUAACCACAUGUCAAGCUCCUAAGGGUUUACACAGCUUGACCACACUCAAUGCUCAUAAGCAGUAAAUAGUAAAUGUGUGGCUCAAAGUCUAGCAAGCAUGUAUAUAUGGCUGUGGUAGGAAUUUAAACUCUCAUCAUACAGAAACUCAUCAUGCAAUAUUUUAAAGAUUUUCAAAGAUAAAAAUUCUCCAGAAUUAUAGCAUCUCUAGGAACAGAUAAACAGCAGCUCAACUUUCUCAUAUUAUAUCCGUUAACAACUUAGAUUUCAGAUCAAGUUUUCAUCCCACAAAUUUAGAUCUAGAGCAAGCUUUAAAUUAUAACAGUUAUGUCUAAACUUGCGAGAGAACUUCAAAUUUGCAAAUUAGGCAGAGCAACUAUUCAUCAUAUCCAUGCUAGAGUUUUAUUAUUAAGAUUCAGAUUAGCAUAGCCACUUUAUUUAUUUAUUAAACACACUAAGCAAAAGAUAUAUAUAUAAGCACAAAAUCUUUAUUUGGUUUUUCAUAGUUUUUGUAUUUUAAUAUUCUAACAUAAGUAUAAAGAUAGGUAGAAAUACUUAGCGAGAUAAAUGGGUGUGCUCUUCCCCCAAGCUGAAUUUUGACGUAAUUUCUCUUGAUGUAGCUAGCAGGUGGCAGAGGUGUAUUUAAAAGUCAGCAGCAUUCUGACAGCGAUUAGAAUGUCCUCCGUCUACUAGUCUUCUUGAUUCUUAAAUUCUGUGGAGCUCAAAUAGACAACAAAGCUUGUGGAACUAAUUAAGUGUUAGAUAAAUAUCUAGCCUUCAUCAUGUUGAGCUUCCUCAAUAAAUAUUACUCCCUGUUUUUAUAUUUUUAUUUUAUAAAGCAGAAAAGAAAUAUUUAUUUUAUUUUUAUGCCACCACAGUGAAGGUACUUAUGGUUUUAUGCCACUCGUAUACUCACAUGAGGCUUAGUAUUUUUUAACAUUUUUAUUUUCUUUUCAAGAUAGCAUGAUUAACUAAUAAUCUAUUUAAGGGAAGUAAAUAAUUAAAGGGAAAAGGGAAUGCAGAAAGGAUAAAUAUGGAUAACUACCGAUCUUACCUUUCGGCGAGGGUUCAAUGUUUUAAGUCUUCUUAACAAGACUUCUCACCGUGUUCAUUCUUCAGGUGCGUCAUUUGAUUCAGGUGCGGACCUUGACGUCUGCACCUCUUCGUUUGCCCAGCAGUUCGAAGUGCGGCAUUGGCAGUGUCCUGCUCAGUGUGUUUGUGCUCGUAGAUCCAGGUCCUUCACUUGGUAGAGUCUGAGAGUUAUAAAACUCCUCUGUGUUUUGCUCGAAGUGUACCUGCUCAUAGAGACAAGGCAGAGAUCAAGUGCAUGGGUCCUGUUGGUGGAAAACACCAACAGAACCUAAAGUGUAUUUCUCUAACCCUAAGCAUAGUGAGCAAGACAAAGUUGAUGGAUGAAAAGUUCAUGAGUUUAGCACUUAUAACAUUUGUCAUAUCAGAUCACUCAACCUUAUGGAAAGAUAAUCUAUCUAUGUAUAUGUCUUUUUCUUUAUAUCUCUCAAUGAUUGAAUGUGUAACAUUUUAGCUCAUAUGAUUAGGAGUGUGGGAUCAUGAAGGUAGUACUAAGAACAAGGAUUAAAGGACUAAACAUGUUGAAUCAGUUGGGUUGGUUAAUCUAGAGUUGUAAAUCGUACAUGUUUGUCUCUUUUAUUUAUAUGAACGCCAGAACCAAGGAGAAGCUUAUAAAAGUGAUAGUCAAGUACCUUAAGAUGUUACCUUGCUUGAAGAGUGAUGGUACAGUAUCACCUUGUGGAAGCUUUCCUUUCUUAGCGGUUGUGCAUCGUGUUUGUGGCACCCUCCAUGGAUCAUCUCUCUAUGAUGAAUGAGCUAUGUCCUUCUUGUGCAAAUUGUUAAACUUCAUGUGUCACUCUCUUCGUCUCUGAUGUGAGUUUAUCUCAGGACUUCCCAAAUCGAUAUUGAAAGUUUUUCUGUAGGGGUU
rnacentral:lncRNA from 1 species